CCGUUUGCAGGUAAACAGAUGGACCCACGAAGUCCAGUUGAGAAGGGAAUUCAUAUCACUGAAUUCAGCUUGUAUUCAUUGUGUUAAGCAUGUCAUUAACGUGAUGUGUGCAGUGCUGCAAAAAUGGCUGUAUAAAGUGAUGCAUUUUCUUUUUCUCACGAUGGAGCUCUGACUGCUUAAAACGAACAGCACUGCUUAGGGCAGCCUUGAUUUGUGGUCGAAGUUUUCGAACUUCAAUGGCACAUAACGAGGUUAGUAGUGUUUGUUGAAUUGAGCGGUUGAAUUACUCACAAUUGUGAGUUAACAUUCAGGUUAUCGGCUUUCUUAUAGAGGUCGAGAGCAUAAAGAGUUUAAAAAGUUUAUUCGGCUUUUACAGUUGAAGGCUUUCUCUUUACACAAUGUCUCUCAGUAGWACCUAAAUAAGUUUGUCACUUGAUGAUAAUCCAGAGUAAGUAGGUCGGUCAUCCAUCUGACCCGUCUUGAAACACGGACCAAGGAGCUCAACAUUUGCGCAAGUCGCUCGGUCUUGAAUAGGCCAGAGAGGCGAAAUAAACAUAAUGGUAUGAUCUCUUACGAGUAAACAGAGUUCAGUAAUGAGCACUGCGUAWGAGCGCAAUACCGACCUGCUUUCUAUGCUUAACGGCAUGAAAGCGGAGUCUGAGCGUAAAUGUUGAUACCCGAAAGAUGGUGAACUAUACUUGGGCAGGACGAAGCCAGAGGAAACUCUGGUGGAGGUCUGUCGCGGUUCUGACGUGCAAAUCGAUCGUCAGACCUGAGUAUAGGGGCGAAAGACUAAUCGAACCAUCUAGUAGCUGGUUCCUUCCGAAGUUUCCCUCAGGAUAGCUGGUAUCAAAUAAAACUCUGUAGCAUCCGGUAAAGCGAAUGAUUAGAGGCCUUGGGAUCGAAACGAUCUCAACCUAUUCUCAAACUUUAAAUGGGUGCGAAGCUUGACUUUUUUGCUCUUUUUAAAGUCUUGCUUUUAAGAGUUUGAUACUAAGUGGGCCAUUUUUGGUAAGCAGAACUGGCGCUGUGGGAUGAACCAAACGUAGAGAUAAGGCACCUAAUGCCGACGCUCAUGAGACCCCAUGAAAGGUGUUGGUUGCUCUAGACAGC
rnacentral:rRNA from 1 species